UACGGAGGGUGCGAGCGUUGUCCGGAAUCACUGGGCGUAAAGGGCGCGUAGGCGGCCACCGCAAGUCGACUGUGAAAUCUCCGGGCUUAACCCGGAAAGGUCAGCCGAUACUGCGGGGCUAGAGUGCAGAAGGGGCAACUGGAAUUCUCGGUGUAGCGGUGAAAUGCGUAGAUAUCGAGAGGAACACCUGCGGCGAAGGCGGGUCUCUGGGCCGAUACUGACGCUGGAGGAGCGAAAGCGUGGGGAGCGAACAGG
rnacentral:rRNA from 1 species